rnacentral:rRNA from 1 species
AACGAACGCUGGCGGCAGGCUUAACACAUGCAAGUCGAACGCCCCGCAAGGGGCGUGGCGGACGGGUGAGUAACGCGUGGGAACAUACCCUUUCCUGCGGAAUAGCUCCGGGAAACUGGAAUUAAUACCGCAUACGCCCUACUGGGGAAAGAUUGAUCGGGGAAGGAUUGGCCCGCGUGGGAUUAGCUAGUUGGUGGGGUAAAGGCCUACCAAGGCGACGAUCCAUAGCUGGUCUGAGAGGAUGAUCAGCCACAUUGGGACUGAGACACGGCCCAAACUCCUACGGGAGGCAGCAGUGGGGAAUAUUGGACAAUGGGCGCAAGCCUGAUCCAGCCAUGCCGCGUGAGUGAUGAAGGCCUUAGGGUUGUAAACCUCUUUCAGUAGGGAAGAAGCGAAAGUGACGGUACCUGCAGAAGAAGCACCGGCUAACUACGUG